CUGAUGUCAACCUUUCGCUCAUAACAGAUGAAAACAUCUUGAAUGAGAAACGUUUUAAGUUAUUUGAUAGAAGAAAAGCAAAUGGAUGAUCUUAAUGUGCAUGAGUCAACAGGUCAGAGUCUAACACAGCAUACUGUUAGCCGUCCAUAGAGAGUGGAGUAGUUGUCAUUUGCAUCCUGACAGGUGAUAGAACACUGAACAAACGCUGAGUGAGUAAGGAUGACAGCUUCUUGGGAGAUGAGCACCUAACCUCUGGCAGGAGAGGCUCAGAGCAAUUAUACGUUGCUGAGGGCAUCAACACCAGGCAACACUUUACCCUCCAGCAGCUCCAGACUAGCUCCGCCUCCUGUGCUCACAUGACUGACCUUGUCUUCGGUGUCCCACUUGGCACAGCAGGU